GAGUUUGUGCGUGAAUCU
rnacentral:snRNA from 1 species